rnacentral:pre_miRNA from 1 species
CACAUACUCCCUCCGUUCGGAAUUACUUGUCUCGGAAAUGGAUGUAUCUAGAAUUAAAACAUGUCUAGAUACAUCCAUUUCUGCGACAAGUAAUUCCGAACGGACGGAGUAUUUC